AAUUAACCCAUAUUUUCUAUAUUAUAAAAAAUUAUUUUUUGUGAGCAGUAUUUAUUUGUGGAGGGUCCACCAUCUUCUUAUAAGCCCACGUCGCUGCUUCAAAGCUAGAUAACAACAUACUAUUCCAUUUCUCUGUCCCCUUUCUUCGCCCAAUUCGAGAAAAAGAGAAGACAAGACGAAGACGAUCGAUGGUGUUGCACUUGUUCUUCACGGUGGCAUUCUCGGCGGCGCCGCUCACGCUCUACAUCCCGCCGGUAAGGAGCUUGAAUCUGUUCAUCGAAACAAUUGAGGCUAUGUGGAAGGAAUCCAGCGCUCAAACUCUCAGGCUAUAUCCACGCCUGCGCUACGCCUUCUCUCGGUUGAUCAAUUCUAUGCUCUCCACCUAACUUCAUAUCGAUUCGGAUUAGCCAAACAGAAGCUGUUGAAAAGUGUUAAUUGUGCACUUGGUUAGGAUCUUACCGUUGUUCUAACAACAGCAAUGGCGCCCGUCUCGGCGGAAUUCUAACCGGCGUGCCGGAAGUCCGCGCAGGACGUCCGCCAUUGUGCAAGGGAGGCACAGAUUCCGUAUCCGCUGCGGACACCGGAGUUCCGCGGAUAUUCGUCGCGACGUCCGCCAUUGCGUUGACUCCCACGAACGUCCGCGCGGACGUCCCGAUUAUUGCAUUAAUUUUUUUAUUAUGGGAAGUCCGUCGGAUGUCCUUGGGGAUGUCCGUCACUGUACAAUGGGAUAUCCGUAUGACGUGGAAUCUGCAGUGGGAUGUCCGUAUGACGUGGCAAGGGGUGUUUUUGGGAUGUCCGCGGGGACGCUCGCCGGGACAUCCGCACCACUGCUAAUGCUCUUACUCAUCAGGAUUGAAUUUACCAAUUUUAUUCAUUGAAUUGUCAGUUUCGUUUACAUCGCCGUAAUUACAUAUUCCAUACAAAAUAUUUCACAUU